UACGUAGGGGGCAAGCGUUGUCCGGAUUUAUUGGGCGUAAAGAGCGUGUAGGCGGCCAGACAGGUCCGUUGUGAAAACUCGAGGCUCAACCUCGAGACGCCGAUGGAAACCAUGUGGCUAGAGUCCGGAAGAGGAGAGUGGAAUUCCUGGUGUAGCGGUGAAAUGCGCAGAUAUCAGGAAGAACACCCGUGGCUAAGGCGGCUCUCUAGUACGGUACUGACGCUGAGACGCGAAAGCGUGGGGAGCGAACAGG
rnacentral:rRNA from 1 species